AGAGUUUGAUCCUGGCUCAGGAUGAACGCUAGCUACAGGCUUAACACAUGCAAGUCGAGGGGCAGCAUGGUCUUAGCUUGCUAAGGCCGAUGGCGACCGGCGCACGGGUGAGUAACACGUAUCCAACCUGCCGUCUACUCUUGGACAGCCUUCUGAAAGGAAGAUUAAUACAAGAUGGCAUCAUGAGUCCGCAUGUUCACAUGAUUAAAGGUAUUCCGGUAGACGAUGGGGAUGCGUUCCAUUAGAUAGUAGGCGGGGUAACGGCCCACCUAGUCUUCGAUGGAUAGGGGUUCUGAGAGGAAGGUCCCCCACAUUGGAACUGAGACACGGUCCAAACUCCUACGGGAGGCAGCAGUGAGGAAUAUUGGUCAAUGGACGAGAGUCUGAACCAGCCAAGUAGCGUGAAGGAUGACUGCCCUAUGGGUUGUAAACUUCUUUUAUAAAGGAAUAAAGUCGGGUAUGGAUACCCGUUUGCAUGUACUUUAUGAAUAAGGAUCGGCUAACUCCGUGCCAGCAGCCGCGGUAAUACGGAGGAUCCGAGCGUUAUCCGGAUUUAUUGGGUUUAAAGGGAGCGUAGGCGGACGCUUAAGUCAGUUGUGAAAGUUUGCGGCUCAACCGUAAAAUUGCAGUUGAUACUGGGUGUCUUGAGUACAGUAGAGGCAGGCGGAAUUCGUGGUGUAGCGGUGAAAUGCUUAGAUAUCACGAAGAACUCCGAUUGCGAAGGCAGCUUGCUGGACUGUAACUGACGCUGAUGCUCGAAAGUGUGGGUAUCAAACAGGAUUAGAUACCCUGGUAGUCCACACAGUAAACGAUGAAUACUCGCUGUUUGCGAUAUACAGUAAGCGGCCAAGCGAAAGCAUUAAGUAUUCCACCUGGGGAGUACGCCGGCAACGGUGAAACUCAAAGGAAUUGACGGGGGCCCGCACAAGCGGAGGAACAUGUGGUUUAAUUCGAUGAUACGCGAGGAACCUUACCCGGGCUUGAAUUGCAACUGAAUGAUGUGGAGACAUGUCAGCCGCAAGGCAGUUGUGAAGGUGCUGCAUGGUUGUCGUCAGCUCGUGCCGUGAGGUGUCGGCUUAAGUGCCAUAACGAGCGCAACCCUUAUCUUUAGUUACUAACAGGUCAUGCUGAGGACUCUAGAGAGACUGCCGUCGUAAGAUGUGAGGAAGGUGGGGAUGACGUCAAAUCAGCACGGCCCUUACGUCCGGGGCUACACACGUGUUACAAUGGGGGGUACAGAAGGCAGCUACCUGGCGACAGGAUGCUAAUCCCAAAAACCUCUCUCAGUUCGGAUCGAAGUCUGCAACCCGACUUCGUGAAGCUGGAUUCGCUAGUAAUCGCGCAUCAGCCAUGGCGCGGUGAAUACGUUCCCGGGCCUUGUACACACCGCCCGUCAAGCCAUGGGAGCCGGGGGUACCUGAAGUGCGUAACCGCGAGGAGCGCCCUAGGGUAAAACUGGUGACUGGGGCUAAGUCGUAACAAGGUAGCCGUACCGGAAGGUGCGGCUG
rnacentral:rRNA from 1 species